rnacentral:rRNA from 1 species
ACUUAAAUUGAAGAGUUUGAUCAUGGCUCAGAUUGAACGCUGGCGGCAGGCCUAACACAUGCAAGUCGAGCGGUAGCACAGAGAGCUUGCUCUCGGGUGACGAGCGGCGGACGGGUGAGUAAUGUCUGGGAAACUGCCUGAUGGAGGGGGAUAACUACUGGAAACGGUAGCUAAUACCGCAUAACGUCGCAAGACCAAAGUGGGGGACCUUCGGGCCUCAUGCCAUCAGAUGUGCCCAGAUGGGAUUAGCUAGUAGGUGGGGUAACGGCUCACCUAGGCGACGAUCCCUAGCUGGUCUGAGAGGAUGACCAGCCACACUGGAACUGAGACACGGUCCAGACUCCUACGGGAGGCAGCAGUGGGGAAUAUUGCACAAUGGGCGCAAGCCUGAUGCAGCCAUGCCGCGUGUGUGAAGAAGGCCUUCGGGUUGUAAAGCACUUUCAGCGGGGAGGAAGGCGUUAAGGUUAAUAACCUUGGCGAUUGACGUUACCCGCAGAAGAAGCACCGGCUAACUCCGUGCCAGCAGCCGCGGUAAUACGGAGGGUGCAAGCGUUAAUCGGAAUUACUGGGCGUAAAGCGCACGCAGGCGGUCUGUCAAGUCGGAUGUGAAAUCCCCGGGCUCAACCUGGGAACUGCAUUCGAAACUGGCAGGCUAGAGUCUUGUAGAGGGGGGUAGAAUUCCAGGUGUAGCGGUGAAAUGCGUAGAGAUCUGGAGGAAUACCGGUGGCGAAGGCGGCCCCCUGGACAAAGACUGACGCUCAGGUGCGAAAGCGUGGGGAGCAAACAGGAUUAGAUACCCUGGUAGUCCACGCCGUAAACGAUGUCGAUUUGGAGGUUGUGCCCUUGAGGCGUGGCUUCCGGAGCUAACGCGUUAAAUCGACCGCCUGGGGAGUACGGCCGCAAGGUUAAAACUCAAAUGAAUUGACGGGGGCCCGCACAAGCGGUGGAGCAUGUGGUUUAAUUCGAUGCAACGCGAAGAACCUUACCUGGUCUUGACAUCCACAGAACUUUCCAGAGAUGCUUUGGUGCCUUCGGGAACUGUGAGACAGGUGCUGCAUGGCUGUCGUCAGCUCGUGUUGUGAAAUGUUGGGUUAAGUCCCGCAACGAGCGCAACCCUUAUCCUUUGUUGCCAGCGGUCCGGCCGGGAACUCAAAGGAGACUGCCAGUGAUAAACUGGAGGAAGGUGGGGAUGACGUCAAGUCAUCAUGGCCCUUACGACCAGGGCUACACACGUGCUACAAUGGCAUAUACAAAGAGAAGCGACCUCGCGAGAGCAAGCGGACCUCAUAAAGUAUGUCGUAGUCCGGAUUGGAGUCUGCAACUCGACUCCAUGAAGUCGGAAUCGCUAGUAAUCGUAGAUCAGAAUGCUACGGUGAAUACGUUCCCGGGCCUUGUACACACCGCCCGUCACACCAUGGGAGUGGGUUGCAAAAGAAGUAGGUAGCUUAACCUUCGGGAGGGCGCUUACCACUUUGUGAUUCAUGACUGGGGUGAAGUCGUAACAAGGUAACCGUAGGGGAACCUGCGGUUGGAUCACCUCCUUACCUUAAAGAA